UGAGACAUGCAAGUCGAGCGGUCAGCAAUGGCAGCGGCGGACGGGUGCGUAACGCGUAGGAACGUGUCUUGAGGUGGGGGACAACCCUGGGAAACUGGGGCUAAUACCGCAUAUGGGCUGAGGCCCAAAGCCGUAGGGCGCCUUUGGAGCGGCCUGCGUCCGAUUAGCUAGUUGGUGGGGUAAAGGCCUACCAAGGCUCCGAUCGGUAGCUGGUCUGAGAGGACGAUCAGCCACACUGGGACUGAGACACGGCCCAGACUCCUACGGGAGGCAGCAGUGGGGAAUAUUGGACAAUGGGCGCAAGCCUGAUCCAGCAAUGCCGCGUGGGUGAAGAAGGUCUUCGGAUCGUAAAGCCCUUUCGACAGGGACGAUGAUGACGGUACCUGUAGAAGAAGCCCCGGCUAACUUCGUGCCAGCAGCCGCGGUAAUACGAAGGGGGCUAGCGUUGCUCGGAAUUACUGGGCGUAAAGGGCGCGUAGGCGGCUUAGUCAGUCAGGCGUGAAAUUCCUGGGCUUAACCUGGGGGCUGCGCUUGAUACGGCUAGGCUUGAGGGUAGGAGAGGGUCGUGGAAUUCCCAGUGUAGAGGUGAAAUUCGUAGAUAUUGGGAAGAACACCGGUGGCGAAGGCGGCGACCUGGCCUAUUACUGACGCUGAGGCGCGACAGCGUGGGGAGCAAACAGGAUUAGAUACCCUUGGUAC
rnacentral:rRNA from 1 species